rnacentral:rRNA from 1 species
UACGUAGGGUGCGAGCGUUAAUCGGAAUUACUGGGCGUAAAGCGUGCGCAGGCGGUUCGUUGUGUCGGCGGUGAAAGCCCCGGGCUCAACCUGGGAAUGGCCGUUGAAACUGGCGAACUGGAGUGUGGCAGAGGGGGGUGGAAUUCCGCGUGUAGCAGUGAAAUGCGUAGAGAUGCGGAGGAACACCGAUGGCGAAGGCAGCCCCCUGGGCUAACACUGACGCUCAGGCACGAAAGCGUGGGGAGCGAACGGG